rnacentral:lncRNA from 1 species
CAGAAUGUGGGAGUCUGCAGUAACCCUGUGCUAAUCCAGGAGAAAACUUGCAGACACCAGGUUCUGGGUCCUGAUGGCUUCUCCCUAGACUACAAAGUCCAAGUACCAAGAAUCCUGGCAACCGGAUACAAAAAAUUAACCAUGGCAAGUGUCCUUCAAAGAGGCCCAGACCAACGAAAGAUGUGGAGAAGAUUCAGCGUGGACUUUCUGCCACUGUGAGAAAUAAUCAACACCACCAAUUUAAAGGAUGCGAUUCAUUUUGUCUCACAGUUGGGAGAUCUCAGUCUCUCUGAUUCCAAGAAAAGAGAAGCAUAAUUAUUCCACCUCUUCCACCUGAUGCCAAAACCUUCUUGUGCACAAAUGCAAGCGUAGUAGGAGUUUUCCAGCAUGUUGAAAUGUUCCACAGGCACUAUGUACAACAGCUUGCAAAUAUUGCUCUUUUGCCGUCUGAGAGGAAGGAGUUGAAAGCCUGGAUCUGUCGCUUCUCCUGGCUAAGGUCAAGCUUCCUCUGCUCAACCCCAGUCUUCUCCUAAGCUGGUAGCUGUGUAACACCUAAACCCGAGCAAACUCAGGAUGGAGAAUUACUUCCUGACACCUUCCUGUGGCCAAUCACAAGACCACACAUGGGGCAGGAAAAGAAAAACAUCCUUUUCUUUUCCUUCUACAGACUUUUCAAUAGGGCAUUUAUUCUGUCUUUAAUUUGGGGUACUCUUGGAGUCUUAACUUAUGAUUAAGGAAGGUUCUUGAGGAGCCGGAGAGAUGGCUGAAUCUGUAAAGUACUUACUGUGCAAGCAGGGGAAGCUGGGUUUGGAACCCCCGCACUCACGUAAAAAGAGAGACUGAGUUUGGAUCAGCAGCAUCCAUGUAAAAAGCCAGCAGCACAUAUGAAAUCCCAGCACUGGGGAGGGGAGACAGGAGGAUGCCUGUGGCUGGCUGACCCCCAGUCUAGUGGAAUCAGUGAAAAGCAGAUUCGCAGGAGGUCUGUCUCAAAAUCUAAAGUAGGGAGCAGUUAAGGAAGCUGCUUGGCUUCAACUGCUGACCUACACACACACACACACACACACACACACACACACACACACACACACACCAUAUAAAUUUACAGGUCACAGGGUUCUUGAAUUGUUUAAUUACUUGUUUUGACUUAUAAUAAAUUAUAAUAUGAAUAUAAUCUUUAAAGACAAAGUAUCAGC